UUCCACAUCAGGGGCCUUGGGAGGAUGACCUAAGGCUGCUUUCUCCUGUCCUUACUUCCUCCACCCAGUGCUGUAACGACACAUGCAAUCAGCUGGUUGUUAUAAAGGAUGCUGACCAGUGCUGUGAUGUUGUCUUCAGGAAGCAGGGGGAUCUCCAAACAAGGUAAAAUGAGAAAUGCUGAUUCAUGGAAUGUCAUGAAGACUUGAACAAUCAAACCAUGGGAACUUCAGGGAUGCAGCUGGAUGGUCCAGAAAAACUGAAAUAUCUGGACCCCCACUUUCCCUGGUAAACCCUGCCUCCCAAUACAACCUAUCAUUUGAAACUAUCAUUCAAGGUGACUGGACUCUUUUAACCAAGGGGGCAAGUAUGUGAUACAAGGUAGGCUAACUCACAAUCUCUCUUAGGACUUUGAAUCUUCGAGAGUGUCUUAAGGAAAGAAAUAGUUGGAGACUUCAUUUCUAUGGUCAUGUCCUGAAGAGACUAUUCAACCAGCCAAAUGACGGGUCUUGCCUUCCCUACCUUCUCUGUCCUGCAAGAAGCUAGUUAUUCAAGUUUCCUUUGAUUCUGUGAGCUA